rnacentral:rRNA from 1 species
CUGGGCGUUAAGUUGCAGGGUAUAGACCCGAAACCCGGUGAUCUAGCCAUGGGCAGGUUGAAGGUUGGGUAACACUAACUGGAGGACCGAACCGACUAAUGUUGAAAAAUUAGCGGAUGACUUGUGGCUGGGGGUGAAAGGCCAAUCAAACCGGGAGAUAGCUGGUUCUCCCCGAAAGCUAUUUAGGUAGCGCCUCGUGAAUUCAUCUCCGGGGGUAGAGCACUGUUUCGGCAAGGGGGUCAUCCCGACUUACCAACCCGAUGCAAACUGCGAAUACCGGAGAAUGUUAUCACGGGAGACACACGGCGGGUGCUAACGUCCGUCGUGAAGAGGGAAACAACCCAGACCGCCAGCUAAGGUCCCAAAGUCAUGGUUAAGUGGGAAACGAUGUGGGAAGGCCCAGACAGCCAGGAUGUUGGCUUAGAAGCAGCCAUCAUUUAAAGAAAGCGUAAUAGCUCACUGGUCGAGUCGGCCUGCGCGGAAGAUGUAACGGGGCUAAACCAUGCACCGAAGCUGCGGCAGCGACGCUGAUGCGUUGUUGGGUAGGGGAGCGUUCUGUAAGCCUGUGAAGGUGUGCUGUGAGGCAUGCUGGAGGUAUCAGAAGUGCGAAUGCUGACAUAAGUAACGAUAAAGCGGGUGAAAAGCCCGCUCGCCGGAAGACCAAGGGUUCCUGUCCAACGUUAAUCGGGGCAGGGUGAGUCGACCCCUAAGGCGAGGCCGAAAGGCGUAGUCGAUGGGAAACAGGUUAAUAUUCCUGUACUUGGUGUUACUGCGAAGGGGGGACGGAGAAGGCUAUGUUGGCCGG